GGGCCCGUAGCUCAGCAAGGUAGAGCAUCCGACACCACACCGGGCGGUCGCGGGUUCAAAUCCCGCCGGGCCCGCCA
rnacentral:tRNA from 1 species